rnacentral:misc_RNA from 1 species
AUUUUACCCCAAGAAACAAAAUCACAAUCGUAUAAGGACCAGUAAAAGAAACAGUUAACUAAUUAAUUUCUCACCAUACGUGGUAUGAUGAGGUCCACUCCAACACUAGGUGGAUAUUAAUCCAAUUUCUGAAGAAUUGUUUUUUAUUUGUAGAAGUAGAGUAGCCUACUUUCAAAUGUAUUUUCAAUGGUCACUAAUAUUUUCAUUCCAGAAAAU